AUGACCACAAUCAUAACAAUCCCAACCAUUACUGCAUCCGUCAUCGCAAAAUUGGAAACCUUAUUAGUUUCAUCAUUUGAAUAAUAAUUUCUUCUUUUCUUCUUCUUACAGGCUCUUUUUCUGGAAACCCCGUUCGGUAUUGUAUUUGGGGCUGACACCAUUGCUCGAUGUGGUAACUAAGUAAGAAUAACUGAUGGGAUUCAUAAUAAUCCGUUUCACUCAUUUUUCACAUUAUUUGUGGUUUGCUGCAGUUUUUCAAUUGAAGAAUCGCAAAACUUUGUGCGGCUCUUCUAUGAUUGAACAUGUUUUCGUCGAACAAUGGAUAGCUUUUUCAACCAUGUUAGUUAUGUUUUGAGA